GAUGAACGCUGGCGGCGUGCCUAAUACAUGCAAGUCGAGCGAACAGACGAGAAGCUUGCUUUUCUGAUGUUAGCGGCGGACGGGUGAGUAACACGUGGAUAACCUACCUAUAAGACUGGGAUAACUUCGGGAAACCGGAGCUAAUACCGGAUAAUAUUUUGAACCGCAUGGUUCAAUAGUGAAAGACGGUCUUGCUGUCACUUAUAGAUGGAUCCGCGCUGCAUUAGCUAGUUGGUAAGGUAACGGCUUACCAAGGCAACGAUGCGUAGCCGACCUGAGAGGGUGAUCGGCCACACUGGAACUGAGACACGGUCCAGACUCCUACGGGAGGCAGCAGUAGGGAAUCUUCCGCAAUGGGCGAAAGCCUGACGGAGCAACGCCGCGUGAGUGAUGAAGGUCUUCGGAUCGUAAAACUCUGUUAUUAGGGAAGAACAUAUGUGUAAGUAACUGUGCACAUCUUGACGGUACCUAAUCAGAAAGCCACGGCUAACUACGUG
rnacentral:rRNA from 1 species